rnacentral:rRNA from 1 species
GACGAACGCUGGCGGCGUGCCUAAUACAUGCCAGUAGAACGCUGAAGGAGGAGCUUGCUCUUCUGGAUGAGUUGCGAACGGGUGAGUAACGCGUAGGUAACCUGCCUGGUAGCGGGGGAUAACUAUUGGAAACGAUAGCUAAUACCGCAUAACAGUAGAUGUUGCAUGACAUUUACUUAAAAGGUGCAAUUGCAUCACUACCAGAUGGACCUGCGUUGUAUUAGCUAGUUGGUGGGGUAACGGCUCACCAAGGCGACGAUACAUAGCCGACCUGAGAGGGGGAUCGGCCAAACUGGGACGGAGACACGGCCCAGACUCCUACGAGAGGCAGCAGUAGGGAAUCUUCGGCAAUGGACGGAAGUCUGACCGAGCAACGCCGCGUGAGUGAAGAAGGUUUUCGGGUCGUAAAGCUCAGUUGUAAGAGAAGAACGAGUGUGAGAGUGGAAAGUGCACACUGUGACGGUAUCUUAACAGAAAGCGACGGCUAACUACGUG